rnacentral:rRNA from 1 species
UGAGCAAUCUGCCCUUCUCUUUGGAAUAAGCGUUGGAAACGACGUCUAAUGCCGAAUACGACCUCCUUUCGCAUGAUCGGAGGUGGAAAGCUCCGGCGGAGAAGGAUGAGCUCGCGGCCUAUCAGCUAGUUGGUGUGGGUAAUGGCCCACCAAGGCGACGACGGGUAGCCGGCCUGAGAGGGUGACCGGCCACACUGGGACUGAGACACGGCCCAGACUCCGUACGGGAGGCAGCG